CAUGGUCUGUGGGUCGGAUGUCUGGCGGUCACACCCGCCGGGAAGAUCUUCUGGCGGAAACAGAAUCUGCUCAUUUCGGGAAAGGCUGAUUGCGCGGUUACGUGCAGCGUGUGUUGAGGAGUGGCUCUGGAAACUUAAAGAGCCCGACGAUCAAGUGAUCUUGCCAACUACCGUUUUAAUCAGCAUGUUUUAUUUUGUUGUGGUACAGGCUCAGGCAUGAUAUUUCAAGCUUGUCAUCAUAUUCAUGGAGGAAGAGACAGGAGAAUUGCUAUUAGGUCCAUGCCAGCCUGGCCUACACAAGCCCAAUGCAAGCCCUGGCAGAUGUCUUCAACACCAGAGUGACACUCAGCCUGAAGGCCAGGAUUGAAGACUGGAAGUACAGGGGCAAGAAAUACCUUUGAAAAUACUCCAGUGUCCAAACUGCUCACUGGUGUUGCUGCCUUGUGAGCCAGGGCACGAGGCUUUGUUGAGGUCACUACUUUUCAUUCCCUCCAAGAUGGACAAGAUGUUUGUUUUGUGCACAGUAAGUGGAACACAGGGCCUCCGGCAUGGUGCUUAUAUGUUCUCUUCAGAAACUAAGGAAUGG
rnacentral:lncRNA from 1 species